CAGCACCACCCCCAUCAUCGUAAUGAUCCGUUCGUCGCCGGCCUGCGCGAGGAAAGUAAGGCGAGACAGGCCGGCGUGCGCGAGCAGCGUCUGCGGCUCGUUCAGUGCCGCGAUGAAUGCCGGCAGCAGGCCCACGCCGGCAACCUCGAGCAUCGCGACCAUGAAAAAGGAGCCGACGAACAGCAGGUAGCGCCCGCCGCCGUCGGCGAGUAUCGAUCGCAGCGCGGAGAGCGUAUGGCUCAGGGAUGAAUCAGUCGGCAUGCGGGGCGUCACCUGAUGUCGAAGUGGCGCGCCAGAUGGAUCGAGCCGUCGAUGCUGAGAUGGUCGCCGUCACGGUAUAACAUCUUCCCAUUCCUCAUC
rnacentral:misc_RNA from 1 species